GAUGAACGCUAGCUACAGGCUUAACACAUGCAAGUCGAGGGGAAACGCCAUCGAAAGCUUGCUUUUGAUGGGCGUCGACCGGCGCACGGGUGAGUAACGCGUAUCCAACCUGCCCACCACUUGGGGAUAACCUUGCGAAAGUAAGACUAAUACCCGAUGAUAUCUCUAUAAGACAUCUGAAAGGGAUUAAAGAUUUAUCGGUGAUGGAUGGGGAUGCGUCUGAUUAGCUUGUUGGCGGGGUAACGGCCCACCAAGGCGACGAUCAGUAGGGGUUCUGAGAGGAAGGUCCCCCACAUUGGAACUGAGACACGGUCCAAACUCCUACGGGAGGCAGCAGUGAGGAAUAUUGGUCAAUGGGCGAGAGCCUGAACCAGCCAAGUAGCGUGCAGGAUGACGGCCCUAUGGGUGGUAAACUGCUUUUAUAAGGGAAUAAAGUGAGUCUCGUGAGACUUUUUGCAUGUACCUUAUGAAUAAGGACCGGCUAAUUCCGUG
rnacentral:rRNA from 1 species